UGGGGAAUAUUGGACAAUGGGCGCAAGCCUGAUCCAGCCAUGCCGCGUGAGUGAUGAAGGCCUUAGGGUUGUAAAGCUCUUUCGGCGGGGAAGAUAAUGACGGUACCCGCAGAAGAAGCCCCGGCUAACUUCGUGCCAGCAGCCGCGGUAAUACGAAGGGGGCUAGCGUUGCUCGGAAUCACUGGGCGUAAAGCGCACGUAGGCGGCUUACUAAGUCAGGGGUGAAAUCCUGGAGCUCAACUCCAGAACUGCCUUUGAUACUGGUGAGCUUGAGUUCGGGAGAGGUGAGUGGAACUGCGAGUGUAGAGGUGAAAUUCGUAGAUAUUCGCAAGAACACCAGUGACGAAGGCGGCUCACUGGCCCGAUACUGACGCUGAGGUGCGAAAGCGUGGGGAGCAAACA
rnacentral:rRNA from 1 species